rnacentral:lncRNA from 1 species
AAGUGGUAAUCAUGAGGGAAUCUUUUGGCUGUCGGUAGGUGGCUAAAAUGGAUUGUCCUCCAGCCACCAGGUGACGCGAGUGUCUUCGUGAGGACGAAAUAUUUCGCAUUUGUUUCCGAGACGCUGACUGAAAGUGUAAUUCAAUUUCAUUAAGGAAUUGCGGUGUCGAUCUAAAUUUUCAGCCAUGAAAUGGCAAUCUGGCGUUAUAAUUUUACUUGGCCAAAUAAUGUGACGACGUGGGUGGAAACUGCUGUCCAAUGGUCCAAUGUCGGCCAUUGUUAACCUAUACGGCUGUCGGCUGCACGUCUUAUCUCGUGCUGAAACACUUCGGACUUUCGGAGCUAUUUCAGAUUGGAGAAGGAGAUCCCUUUGCUCAACUAUUGCAGAACUUGUGAACACGACAAAGUCUGAGCUUCUUGGCUGUUCAUCAACAUGGUUUUGUUGCAGUCAGCUGGUGAAAGAUGUGAUCAAGUCAAGUUGAGCUGCAGGUGCUGCAUGCAGUUUAUCAAACUGGUGUUAUCCCAAGUGUCACUCCAGAAGACUUCUGGAAUUGGAGUUCAUGGUCAGUGUGAUGUUUGAGCUGUUUAUGGCGUUGCUGUUUGGUGUACAGUGGUUUUGCAGUCCUUUUCCAGUCGAGAGAUGCUCUGAAAUGGAGUUUGUGUAGACUUGCAGUUCAACAACACACUAAAAAUGUGUCAUUUGCCUAUGUUGGUGUCCAUGCAUAUGCUGUGUUGAAAAGUUGGGUUAAAUAGUCAAUGUUGCCUGAUGGCUGUCGGUCUUGUUUUAUCGGCUGCAUUUUGUCGAUAUGUCGUCUCUUGCUACCUGUACCGGCGUUGAGUUAAUGUUUGAUGUUUCGUCAGUUAUUGUCUUUUAAUUAAGAUCUGUAUUCUUUUUUU